rnacentral:rRNA from 1 species
UACAGAGGUCUCAAGCGUUGUUCGGAAUCACUGGGCGUAAAGGGUGCGUAGGCUGCGGAGAAAGUCUGGUGUGAAAUUUACGAGCUCAACUCGUAACUAGCACCUGAUACAACUUUGCUAGAGAUCUGGAGAGGAGCUUGGAAUUCUCGGUGUAGCAGUGAAAUGCGUAGAUUUCGAGAAGAACGCUCGCUGCGAAAGCGAAGCUCUGGCCAGAUUCUGACGCUGAGGCACGAAGGCUAGGGGAGCAAACGGG